UGAUUGGCGCUCCUGUGCCGGAGGAGUUCUGCGUCUCGGGCUGGUGACUGGGUCCAGAAUGGCUUCGGACUCGGGGAACCAGGGGACCCUCUGCACGGUGUCCAGGAUGUGGAGGUGCACUUGGAGGACCAGAUGGUCUUGGUACACACCACUCUGCCCAGCCAGGAGGUGCAAGCUCUCCUGGAAGGCACGGGGCGGCAGGCGGUACUCAAGGGCAUGGGCAGCGGCCAGUUGCGUGAGUGACCACGGUGGCCUUGGCCCCCCUGGGAGGGAGGUGGCUCAGAGCUGGUACAAAUCUAACCAUAGGAUUCUCGGGCUCUGGGUUGGAGUGGCUUUGAGGAAGGUGUGAAAAUUAUGUGAGACUCCCUGCCCUUCCCGAGCUACUGAAAAGGUGUGCUGGGUGAGGUGGCAACCCAGCCCAAGUGUCUAAUACCUUGCAGAGAAUCUGGGGGCAGCAGUGGCCAUCCUGGGGGGGCCUGGCACCGUGCAGGGGGUGGUGCGCUUCCUACAGCUGACCCCUGAGCGCUGCCUCAUCGAGGGAACUAUUGACGGCCUGGAGCCUGGGCUGCAUGGACUCCACAUCCAUCAGUAUG
rnacentral:sRNA from 1 species